rnacentral:rRNA from 1 species
UAGCAUAUCAAUAAGCGGAGGAAAAGAAAGCAACAGCGAUAGCCUCAGUAACGGCGAGUGAAGCGGCUACAGCUCAAAUUUGAAAUCUGGCUCCCUUUGGGCGUCCGAGUUGUAAUUUGCAGAGGAUGCUUUGGCAUUGGCGGCGGUCUAAGUUCCUUGGAACAGGACAUCGCAGAGGGUGAGAAUCCCGUACGUGGGCGCCUGCCUUUGCCGUGUAAAGCUCCUUCGACGAGUCGAGUUGUUUGGGAAUGCAGCUCUAAAUGGGAGGUAAAUUUCUCCUAAAGCUAAAUACCGGCCAGAGACCGAUAGCGCACAAGUAGAGUGAUCGAAAGAUGAAAAGUACUUUGGAAAGAGAGUCAAAUAGCACGUGAAAUUGUUGAAAGGGAAGCGCUUGCAGCCAGACUUGCCCGCAGUUGCUCACCUAGGCUUUUGCCUGGGGCACUCUUCUGCGGGCAGGCCAGCAUCAGUUUGGGCGGUCGGAUAAAGGUCUCUGUCAUGUACCACCCCUCGGGGUGGCCUUAUAGGGGAGACGCAAUGCGACCAGCCCGGACUGAGGUCCGCGCAUCUGCUAGGAUGCUGGCGUAAUGGCUGUAAGCGGCCCGUCUUGAAACACGGACCAAGGAGUCUAACAUCUAUGCGAGUGUUUGGGUGUCAAGCCCGGGCGCGCAAUGAAAGUGAACGGAGGUGGGAACCUUUCGGGGUGCACCAUCGACCGAUCCUGAUGUCUUCGGAUGGAUUUGAGUAAGAGCAUAGCUGUUGGGACCCGAAAGAUGGUGAACUAUGCUUGAAUAGGGUGAAGCCAGAGGAAACUCUGGUGGAGGCUCGCAGCGGUUCUGACGUGCAAAUCGAUCGUCAAAUUUGGGCAUAGGGGCGAAAGACUAAUCGAACCAUCUAGUAGCUGGUUCCUGCCGAAGUUUCCCUCAGGAUAGCAGUAACGUUUUCAGUUUUAUGAGGUAAAGCGAAUGAUUAAAAGCCCUGGGGGGUUGAAACAACCUUCACCCUAUUCUCAAA